AGAGUUUGAUCCUGGCUCAGGAUGAACGCUGGCGGUAUGCUUAACACAUGCAAGUCGAACGGUGUCUUCGGACACAGUGGCGGACGGGUGAGUAACGCGUGAGAAUCUGGCUUUAGGUCUGGGACAACCACUGGAAACGGUGGCUAAUACCGGAUGUGCCCUUCGGGGUGAAAGGUUAACUGCCUGAAGAUGAGCUCGCGUCUGAUUAGCUAGUUGGAAGUGUAAUGGACUCCCAAGGCGACGAUCAGUAGCUGGUCUGAGAGGACGAUCAGCCACACUGGGACUGAGACACGGCCCAGACUCCUACGGGAGGCAGCAGUGGGGAAUUUUCCGCAAUGGGCGAAAGCCUGACGGAGCAAUACCGCGUGAGGGAGGAAGGCUCUUGGGUCAUAAACCUCUUUUCUCAGGGAAGAACACAAUGACGGUACCUGAGGAAUAAGCAUCGGCUAACUCCGCGCCAGCAGCCGCGGUAAUACGGAGGAUGCAGGCGUUAUCCGGAAUGAUUGGGCGUAAAGCGUCCGCAGGUGGCAAUGUAAGUCUGCUGUUAAAGAGUCUAGCUCAACUAGAUAAAAGCAGUGGAAACUACAUAGCUAGAGUACGUUCGGGGCAGAGGGAAUUCCUGGUGUAGCGGUGAAAUGCGUAGAGAUCAGGAAGAACACCAGUGGCGAAGGCGCUCUGCUAGGCCGUAACUGACACUGAGGGACGAAAGCUAGGGGAGCGAAUGGGAUUAGAUACCCCAGUAGUC
rnacentral:rRNA from 1 species